GGGAGAUAGGGUCUCUCUCUCUGCCACCCAGGCCAGAGUGCAGUUGACGCAGGGCAGGGGAGCCCCGAAAUGGAGCAUAGUGUGUCUGGAACUGGUGGGUUCUUGGUCUCACUGACUUCAAGAAUGAAGCCACGGACCCUCGCGGUGAGUGUCACAGUUCUUAAAGGCGGCGUGUCCGGAGUUUGUUCCUUCUGAUGCUCAGAUGUGUUCAGAGUUUCUUCCUUCUGGUGGGUUGGUGGUCUCGCUGGCUUCAGGAGUGAA
rnacentral:lncRNA from 1 species